rnacentral:rRNA from 1 species
GGACGAACGCUAAACGGCGGGCUUAACACAUGCAAGUCGUGCGCGAAAGCCAUCUUCGGAAGGCGAGUAGAGCGGCGAACGGGUGAGUAACACGUAGGCAAUCUGCCCCGUGGUGGGGGAUAACCCACCGAAAGGUGGGCUAAUACCGCAUGAUGUCCGGAAUCCGCCUGGAAUCCGGACCAAAGCUUUCGGGCGCCAUGGGAUGAGCCUGCGGCCCAUCAGGUAGUUGGUAGGGUAAAGGCCUACCAAGCCGACGACGGGUAGCCGGCGUGAGAGCGUGGCCGGCCACAGGGGGACUGAGACACGGCCCCCACUCCUACGGGAGGCAGCAGUGGGGAAUAUUGGACAAUGGGGGAAACCCUGAUCCAGCGACGCCGCGUGGAGGACGAAGUCUUUCGGGACGUAAACUCCUGAACUUAUCGAACAAUAAAGUGAGAAGGAAAUGGCUCACCGAUGAGGGUAGAUAAGGAAAAGCCCCGGCUAACUACGUGCCAGCAGCCGCGGUAAUACGUAGGGGGCGAGCGUUGCCCGGAAUCACUGGGCGUAAAGGGAGCGUAGGCGGCCUGUUAAGUCGGCUGUGAAAAACCGGAGCUCAACUCCGGUCCUGCGGUCGAAACUGGCAGGCUUGAGGACGGUAGAGGGAGACGGAACAGCUGGUGUAGGGGUAAAAUCCUUAGAUAUCAGCUGGAAGGCCGGUGGUGAAGACGGUCUCCUGGGCCGGACCUGACGCUGAGGCUCGAAAGCUAGGGGAGCGAACGGGAUUAGA